rnacentral:tRNA from 1 species
AGCUCAGUGGUAGAGUGCUUGCCUUACAUGCAUGAGGCCCUGGGUUCAAUUCCUCAG